rnacentral:rRNA from 1 species
GACGAACGCUGGCGGCGUGCCUAAUACAUGCAAGUCGAACGCAGUGGCGAACGGGUGAGUAAAGCGUAGGGACCUGCCUCAUUGCGGGGGGUAACUAUUGGAAACGAUAGCUCAUACCGCAUACUGUCAGAUGGACCUGCGUUGUAUUAGCUAGUUGGUAGGGUAAAGGCUCACCAAGGCGACGCUCCCUAGCUGGUCUGAGAGGAGGACCAGCCACACUGGAACUGAGACACGGCCCAGACUCCUACGGGAGGCAGCAGUGGGGAAUCUUCGGCAAUGGACGGAAGUCUGACCGAGCAACGCCGCGUGAGUGAGGACGGUGUUCGGGUCGUAAAGCUCUGUUGUUAGAGAAGCGGUACCUAACCAGAAAGCGACGGCUAACUACGUGCCAGCAGCCGCGGUAAUUC